rnacentral:rRNA from 1 species
AUGCAGCCUAUCCACCUCAGCGAUCUGCCACAUCAGCGCCUCCCAACAAACCUUCAACCUUGGAAAAUAAUGAUCAGUUCUGAUUUUCCUUUUUCUUUGACCAAACCCCAUUUAGAUUGUGCGAGUUCGGUUUUCUUCGCCAUUAAACUCUCAACGACAUGCAUCCCAUUAAUCCAGCCUACAUGCAGACCAUUAUUAGAUGCUCACCAAAUCCACAAAAAACUAUUGCACACAACAACGAAAAAAGAAAGUGAUGGAGGCAUACGAGAAGUUCCACUGGAAUUUUGGGUGGUCACCCAAUGUCAUCUCUUCCCAUUCCUACAUCUUCUAUAUAAGUUGCAAACAGCAUCUUUUAGGAAUCAAUCUUUUCUCCAUCCCAGUUUUACAAAGGGAUUACUCCUUCUCCUUGCCCAACAACCAUCAUCCGCCAUGGCCCAGGCAAUCUUCUCACCACCAUUCCCUGCUCGGGGACAUUGA